GCGUGUUCCUUCUGCACAUGUCGCUCAGUGUGCACGACGUGGGUGCACCAAACGCACACACUCAUACACGCGUAUAUGUUUAUGUGUGCAUUGACACGGGUGCGCACGAGGAGUACUGAGGGGAGUUUCGUCUGUGGAAAGUCCUCUCGCAGAGCUUCCACGCGGGCAGAGGCAAAACAUUAAUUUACCAAGUCUGAGGCACCAUCUCCUCUGGAUCUACAGCAAAAAGCAAAGCAAAGGCGGAAAGCAGAGCAAAAGUCCUAAAUGAGGAGCUUUUCUUAGUACAAAAUGCAAACAGAGUCGUGGCUCCGGUAGUUGAGAAGCAUCUGGAAAUCGGUGAAGCCUGGUGAGAGAGCCUGCAACAGAUUAAGAAGGAACAGAGUGACUUUACAUAACAAUCCAGCCCCGCUCAUCUCUGGUUGUCAAAACCCUCGACACACUUCUCCAGAGAAGAGAGGGACUCCAGGCAGGGAGGAAGCAGUGAUUUCCCUGGGUGGGAGAGGAGCCCGCGUUGGCUCUGAAGGGUUGAGGCGCAAACCCCGUCACUCCAUGGGACUCAUCUUUCCGUCUGACAUCCAGGAGCUGGCUUACCGGGAAGGAAAUGCUGCCAGCUGCGUUCAGUUCCAGCGCUCUGGGGACCACGGGAGCGCUCCCAGGCUCGCAGGAGAGCCACGGCAAACGCAGGCAGAGCUGCCAUUUCCCCGAAAUGCCUGGAAAAGCAGCGGCUUGCCAAGGGUGGCACGAGGAGGCUCUCCUGGAAAGAGAGCCAUACGUGGUUAUUUAUCUGUUACAUUAGAGCUAACUGAGAUCCAGAGCCCGGGGAGCCGGGAUAAAGACAGGACUUGCCGCAAGCCCCUGUGAGCUGAAUAGAAAUCAUGGCUAAACAGGAGCACGGAAGAGACGGGGUUGUGUGAAGAGGCAUUGCCAGCAUCACACAGCGGGCAGUGCCACAGCCAGCGAGGCUUGGAGCAGUCUCUUCUGGCAGAUGGGUUUACUUGCAGCAAAUCAUCCAUUUUCAGAUUUUGCUGAUUUUACACAGUCUAAUUUUAAUAACAGAAGGAAAGAGUGAGACGUUUUUUCACAAAUCGCUCGUUCCUUUCCUUUUUU